UACGUAGGCGGAAAAUUAAGUCAGUAGUGAAAUCCUGCAGCUUAACUGUAGAACUGUUAUUGAUACUGGUUUUCUUGAAUAUAGUUGAGGUAAGCGGAAUGUGUAAUGUAGCGGUGAAAUGCUUAGAUAUUACACAGAACACAGAUUGCGAAGGCAGCUUACUAAGCUAUGAUUGACGCUGAGGUACGAAAGCGUGGGGAGCGAACAGGAUUAGAUACCCUGGUAGUCC
rnacentral:rRNA from 1 species